rnacentral:tRNA from 1 species
GGCCAGUUAGCUCAGUCAGUUGAGCGUGGCGCUAAUAAUGCCAAGGUUGUGAGUUCGAUUCCCAUUUGGUCC